rnacentral:rRNA from 1 species
UACGUAGGGUGCAAGCGUUAAUCGGAAUACUGGGCGUAAAGCGUGCGCAGGCGGUUUUGUAAGUCUGUCGUGAAAUCCCCGGGCUCAACCUGGGAACUGCAUUUGUGACUGCAUCGCUGGAGUGCGGCAGAGGGGGAUGGAAUUCCGCGUGUAGCAGUGAAAUGCGUAGAUAUGCGGAGGAACACCGAUGGCGAAGGCAAUCCCCUGGGCCUGCACUGACGCUCAUGCACGAAGCGUAGGGGAGCGAAACAGGA